rnacentral:rRNA from 1 species
CAGAUGCUAAUACCGCAUAACAACUUGGACCGCAUGGUCCGAGCUUGAAAGAUGGCUUCGGCUAUCACUUUUGGAUGGUCCCGCGGCGUAUUAGCUAGAUGGUGGGGUAACGGCUCACCAUGGCAAUGAUACGUAGCCGACCUGAGAGGGUAAUCGGCCACAUUGGGACUGAGACACGGCCCAAACUCCUACGGGAGGCAGCAGUAGGGAAUCUUCCACAAUGGACGAAAGUCUGAUGGAGCAACGCCGCGUGAGUGAAGAAGGGUUUCGGCUCGUAAAACUCUGUUGUUAAAGAAGAACAUAUCUGAGAGUAACUGUUCAGGUAUUGACGGUAUUUAACCAGAAAGCCACGGCUAACUACGUGCCAGCAGCCGCGGUAAUACGUAGGUGGCAAGCGUUGUCCGGAUUUAUUGGGCGUAAAGCGAGCGCAGGCGGUUUUUUAAGUCUGAUGUGAAAGCCUUCGGCUCAACCGAAGAAGUGCAUCGGAAACUGGGAAACUUGAGUGCAGAAGAGGACAGUGGAACUCCAUGUGUAGCGGUGAAAUGCGUAGAUAUAUGGAAGCACCACCAGUGGCGAAAGCGGCUGUCUGGUCUGUAACUGACGCUGAGGCUCAAAAGUUUUGGGUAGCAACAGGAUUAGAUACCCUGGUA